GAUGAAGACGCAGCGAAAUGCGAUAAGUAAUGUGAAUUGCAGAAUUCAGUGAAUCAUCGAAUCUUUGAACGCACAUUGCGCCCGCCAGUAUUCUGGCGGGCAUGCCUGUUCGAGCGUCAUUUCAACCAUCAAGCCCCCGGCUUGUGUUGGGGACCUGCGGCUGCCGCAGGCCCUGAAAAGCAGUGGCGGGCUCGCUGUCACACCGAGCGUAGUAGCAUACAUCUCGCUCUGGGCGUGCUGCGGGUUCCGGCCGUUAAACCACCUUCAUAACCCAAGGUUGACCUCGGAUCAGGUAGGAAGACCCGCUGAACUUAAGAAUAUCAAUAAGCGGAGGA
rnacentral:misc_RNA from 1 species